ACCACUUGUUGCCUCGGCGGAUCAGCCCGCUCCCGGUAAAACGGGACGGCCCGCCAGAGGACCCCUAAACUCUGUUUCUAUAUGUAACUUCUGAGUAAAACCAUAAAUAAAUCAAAACUUUCAACAACGGAUCUCUUGGUUCUGGCAUCGAUGAAGAACGCAGCAAAAUGCGAUAAGUAAUGUGAAUUGCAGAAUUCAGUGAAUCAUCGAAUCUUUGAACGCACAUUGCGCCCGCCAGUAUUCUGGCGGGCAUGCCUGUUCGAGCGUCAUUUCAACCCUCAAGCACAGCUUGGUGUUGGGACUCGCGUUAAUUCGCGUUCCUCAAAUUGAUUGGCGGUCACGUCGAGCUUCCAUAGCGUAGUAGUAAAACCCUCGUUACUGGUAAUCGUCGCGGCCACGCCGUUAAACCCCAACUUCUGAAUGUUGACCUCGGAUCAGGUAGGAAUACCCGCUGAACUUAAGCAUAU
rnacentral:misc_RNA from 1 species